CUACAGGAUAUGGGGUGAUCAAGGCCAGGCUGCACUGGAGAAGGCUAGCAUAUGCUUGCUUAACUGUGGUCCUACCGGAACCGAAGCAUUGAAGAAUCUCAUGCUUGGAGGCAUAGGAAGUGUGACUGUUGUUGAUGGCUCCAAAGUUGAAGCAUCUGACCUGGGGAACAAUUUUCUGUUGGAUGAAGGAUGUUUGGGGCAACCAAGAGCUAAAUUUAUAUGCUCUUUCCUACAAGAGCUUAAUGACGCUGUUAAGGCCAAGUUUGUUGAUGAGUCUCCAGCGCAUUUGAUAGAUACUAAUCCUUCAUUCUUUUCCCAGUUUACUGUUGUUAUUGCUACCCAGGUGUGUUCUUCAGUCUACUUUUAAGAUUUACAAGAGCAACUGGUGCUAACCUGAACUUUUGGGUUUAUGAACA